rnacentral:rRNA from 1 species
UAAUACGGAGGGUGCAAGCGUUAUCCGGAUUCACUGGGUUUAAAGGGUGCGUAGGUGGCUUUGUAAGUCAGUGGUGAAAUGCCGCAGCUCAACUGCGGAACUGCCAUUGAUACUGCUUAGCUUGAAUCACGUCGAGGUGGAUGGAAUAUUACAUGUAGCGGUGAAAUGCUUAGAUAUGUAAUAGAACACCGAUUGCGAAGGCAGUUCACUAGGCGUGUAUUGACACUGAGGCACGAAAGCGUGGGGAUCAAACAGGAUUAGAUACCCUGGUAGUCCACGCCCUAAACGAUGUAAACUCGACAUUAGCGAUAUACUGUUAGUGUCCAAGCGAAAGCGUUAAGUUUACCACCUGGGAAGUACGACCGCAAGGUU